rnacentral:lncRNA from 1 species
AUUGCAUAUGUCUAUGUUAUAUUAAUAUACAUAAUAUUUUUAUUCUCUGUGUUAUUCUUUCUUCCAGACAUUGCUUAUGGUGUGUGACAGUGAUUAUUGGAAUAGUGUUUUGGAGGCAGGGAGAUUGUAAUAUCCAAAUUCUAGACAAAGGAUGGUUGUAGUACCUGAACAUUAUCCCCAAGCCAAACAGAAACAAAGGAGAAGUGUCUCUGUCACCUCUUUCUGUCCUUGAUAGAAACAGAAGGAACUGGACAUCCACCUUCACAUAGUGAUACAGAGAGAUUGCACUUCAGUUGCCACCAACUUAAAGCAUUGAUUUCAGAACUGCCUGGAGCAACACACACCUUCCCAGUGCAGGAGCUAGAGUGGAUGAGUCUGGGGCCAGCAGAGGAAGCUCUUCUGCAGUGACUCAGGGCAGCUGGCAUAUUAAGUACCACUUAACAUUGUUGCUCAUUUCUUUGCAAGUACCAGGUAUGUGGGGUAACAGAAG